AGAGGUCCAUGAGUUUCCUGUGCAGACUGAGAAAUGUUCAAAAGGAAACGUGGCUUCCUCUCCCCACCCAAGACACCAGUGACAAGAAUAUAAAACUAUUUGGUGUAUAAAGUAACUGCAACUCCAAAGCAGCUGCUCAGAAGAGGCUGCAAAUCUGUCUGGGGUUGGACGGAAAUCUGAGCCUUCAGCACUGGAGGGCACUGGGCGUUUCUCUUCUGCUUCAAGGAGAGGAAGGUCUGAGCAUCUUGCAGCCCUGCUUCCCUGCCUCAUCCUGCACCAUGACAGAUCCUCUGGAGAAGCCUGCAAUGCUACUCUGGCUGCUGGUCAUCACCUUUGCUGCAGCCUCCAAAGGCACCCUUUCCCAAAUAGAAAUGGUGACAUCAGGUCCCAAGGAAGGGACAGUUUCUGGAUCACUCCUCCUCACCUGCACUGUAAAAGGAGCACUUCUGGACAGCCCUUACUAUGACUGGAACUGUGUCCGUCUGUCUCCAGGAGGGCAGUUGCAAUUCCUAGGCUGGAUCUAUCCUUUUGGGAAUAACACAGGCUAUGCCCCAUCCUUCCAAGAUCGUGUCACCAUCUCUGCAGAUAAAGCCAAAAACAAGGUUUCCCUGCAGCUGCGCACCCUUAGUGCCACAGAUAGAGCCACCUACUUCUGUGCAAGACAGCACACAUAAAGCCAAAGGAGGGAGUGACAACACAAAAAGUGAGAAGACUGCUGUGGUGAUAGAACUUCUCAAGGAGGCAGUUACCCGUACAAACUCUGUGAAAUAAGGAUAAGGUCUAAAAGAUCUUGGAACUGCCCAUCAAUCCAUGCAUAACUGAAUUUCAAGUAAAAUUUGACAUUGUAAAAGAAGUUUGAAAUUAAACUUCAUAUAUGUGUAACUCCCGUGGGCAGCUCAAUCCAAGACUUUUACACAGCAUAGAUUUUUCACCUAA